GUGGACGUAGCCAAGUUGGUCGAAGGCGUUAGAUUGUGGCUCUAAUACAUUAGAAACAUCGUGGGUUCGAAUCCCACCGUUCACCCCA
rnacentral:tRNA from 1 species